UUCUGCCUUCUCUCUCCUGCAUCAUUAGUUUUUCUUCACUGAUAGAUCUUUUCUACCAACAUACAAAUAAAGCUGUUUUUUCUUCUAUCUUCAAAAUAAUUCUUGCUUCCUGUUUUAUAGUUACUGCCCCGUGUCUUUCUAGUUACAGAUAAUAUUGUUAAAAUAGUUGUCUGUGCUUUCUAAAUUCAGUUUCCUUAACUUCUGUCACUCCACUAAAACUGCUUUUUUCAGUGACGUUACUAAGUUAAAUGGACAGUUCUCAGGCUUCUUAUCUGACCUGGCAGUAGUUUUUAACACAUUCCUUGUUUGAUUUUUCAGAUACUACAUUCUACUGAUUUUUCCUUCUACAUUUCUGGAUGCUGUUUUAUUCCCCCAGUCUUUUUUGAUGAUUCCUUCUUGCCCUUUCCAUCUCUAAAUUGGCAAAAUGCUUCAGCUUCUAGAAUUUGGACUAACUUUUUAAUUCACAUUCACUAUCAUGGGGUGUUAGUCCAUUUUGUGUUCCUGUAACAAAAUACCUAAGGCUGGGUAAGUCAUAUGAAAGGAGAGUCCCAAGAGACUUAACUUACUCACACAAGACCUAAUCAGUCUCAAGAGACUCGAUUUCUCAGAAAUGUCACUAAUUUAUUCACAAAGAUCAUGCCUCUGUGACCUAAUCACCUCUCAAAGGCUUUGCCUCUAGACACUGCAGCAUUGAAGAAUUAGUCCCCAACAUGAGUUUUGGCAGGGACAAAUCACACACAAAUCACAGCACUUUUGACCUUACCCAGUACUAUACCUUUAUGUAUAGAUGACCAUCAUUUUGCAAAUGAGAAGAAUCCUUCGGUCUUAUUAGAAUAUAAUAUAGUAAACUGAAUUCUUUACAUUUCCCACCAAAACCUCUUCCUGCAUUUUUCUCAUCUCAAUAUAGAUUGCAGUCUUAAUCAAUCUUGAUUCACCCUUGAUGUCAGUUUUUUACUCCACAUUUGAUAAUUCUUCAUACCCCUGUUAACAAUGAUUCUCUUGUCUCUACCUUUAAAGGGUAUCUAAAAUCUAGUCAUUG
rnacentral:lncRNA from 1 species